AUUGAACGCUGGCGGCAUGCCUUACACAUGCAAGUCGAACGGCAACACGGGUGCUUGCACCUGGUGGCGAGUGGCGAACGGGUGAGUAAUGCAUCGGAACGUAUCCAAUAAUGGUGGAUAACGCACCGAAAGGUGUGCUAAUACCGCAUACGCCCUGAGGGGGAAAGGGGGGGACCGUAAGGCCUCACGUUCAUGGAGCGGCUGAUGCCUGAUUAGCGAGUGGGUGAGGUAAAGGCUCACCAGGGCGACGAUCAGUAGCUGGUCUGAGAGGACGACCAGCCACACUGAGACGGAGACACGGCCCAGACUCCUACGGUAGGCAUCAGUGGGGAAUUUUGGACAAUGGGCGCAAGCCUGAUCCAGCCAUGCCGCGUGAGUGAAGAAGGCCUUCGGGUUGUAAAGCUCUUUCGCAAGGAAAGAAAACUUAUCCCCUAAUACGGGAUGAGGAUGACGGUACCUUGAUAAGAAGCACCGGCUAACUACGUGCCAGCAGCCGCAGUAACAC
rnacentral:rRNA from 1 species